GGGCCCGCACAAGCGGUGGAGCAUGUGGUUUAAUUCGAUGAUACGCGAGGAACCUUACCAGGGCUUAAAUGUACGUUGCAUAAAUCAGAGAUGGUUUUUCUUCGGACUACGUACAAGGUGCUGCAUGGUUGUCGUCAGCUCGUGCCGUGAGGUGUCAGGUUAAGUCCUAUAACGAGCGCAACCCCUGUCGUUAGUUGCCAGCAUUUAAGAUGGGUACUCUAGCGAGACUGCCGGUGCAAACCGUGAGGAAGGUGGGGAUGACGUCAAAUCAUCACGGCCCUUACGUCCUGGGCUACACACGUGCUACAAUGGCCGGUACAGAGAGCAGCCACUACGCGAGUAGGAGCGAAUCCUUAAAACCGGUCUCAGUUCGGAUCGGGGUCUGCAACUCGGCCCCGUGAAGCUGGAAUC
rnacentral:rRNA from 1 species